AACGAACGCUGGCGGCAUGCCUAACACAUGCAAGUCGAACGAGACCUUCGGGUCUAGUCGCGCACGGGUGCGUAACGCGUGGGAACCUGCCCUUAGGUUCGGAAUAACUCCCCGAGAGGGGUGCUAAUACCGGAUAAUGUCUUCGGACCAAAGAUUUAUCGCCUUUGGAUGGGCCCGCGUUGGAUUAGCUAGUUGGUAGGGUAAAAGCCUACCAAGGCGGCGAUCCAUAGCUGGUCUGAGAGGAUGAUCAGCCACACUGGGACUGAGACACGGCCCAGACUCCUACGGGAGGCAGCAGUGGUGAAUAUUGGACAAUGGGCGAAAGCCUGAUCCAGCAAUGCCGCGUGAGUGAUGAAGGCCUUGGGUUGUAAAGCUCUUUUACCCGGGAUGAUAAUGACAGUACCGGGAGAAUAAGCUCCGGCUAACUCCGUG
rnacentral:rRNA from 1 species